ACCUGACUUUUCGGAAAGGUUGUAUUUAUUAGAUAUGAAACCUAUCAGCCCCUCGUGGGUUAAUUGUGAGGAAUCAUAGUAACUGAUCGAAUCUCCUCCGGGAGAUAAAUCAUUCAAGUUUCUGCUCUAUCAGCUUUCGAUGGUAGUGUAUUGGACUACCAUGGCAGUCACGGGUAACGGAGAAUUAGGGUUCGAUUCCGGAGAGGGAGCCUGAAAAAUGGCUACCACAUCUAAGGAAGGCAGCAGGCGUGUAAAUUACCCAAUCCUGAUUCAGGGAGGUAGUGACAAGAAAUAACAACCUGGGGACCUCAUGGUCUUACGGGAUUGCAAUGAGAACAAUUUAAAUCACUUAGCGAGGAACAAUUGGAGGGCAAGUCUGGUGCCAGCAGCCGCGGUAAUUCCAGCUCCAAAAGCGUAUAUUAAAGUUGUUGCAGUUAAAGAGCUCGUAGUUGAACUUCUGGGAACGAAUUUGUUGGCUACUCGUCGACUCUUUCGUUUUCAUUCGUCUGCAAGUUGUGCUCGCCCUUCACUGGUGCGGCGCAAGGAGUAGACACUUUACUUUGAAAAAAUUAGAGUGCUCAAGGCAGGCUCUCGCCUGAAUACUUUAGCAUGGAAUAAUGGAAUAGGACUCACGUUCCGUUUGAUUGGUUUUCGGAAUUGAGUAAUGAUUAAUAGGGACAGUUGGGGGCAUUAGUAUUUAAUUGUCAGAGGUGAAAUUCACGGAUUUAUUAAAGACUAACUUAUGCGAAAGCAUUUGCCAAGGAUGUUUUCAUUAAUCAAGAACGAAAGUUAAGGGAUCAAAGACGAUCAGAUACCGUCCUAGUCUUAACUAUAAACUAUACCGACUCGGGAUUGUCAAGGUAUUUUGCUCCUUGGCAGCACCGUAUGAGAAAUCAUAAGUCUUUGGGUUCUGGGGGGAGUAUGGUCGCAAGGCUGAAACUUAAAGGAAUUGACGGAAGGACACCACCAGGAGUGGAGCCUGCGGCUUAAUUUGACCCAACACGGGGAAACUUACCAGGUCAAAACAUGAGUGGGAUUGACAGAUUGAGAGCUCUUUCUUGAUUGUAUGGGUGGUGGUGCAUGGCCGUUCCUAGUUGGUGGAGUGAUUUGUCUGGUUAAUUCCGUUAACGAACGAGACCUUAACCUGCUAACUAGUCCUUUUGUCUACUACAGGAGGUACUUCUUAGAGGGACUAUGGGAAUCAAGCCCAUGGGAGUUUGAGGCAAUAACAGGUCUGUGAUGCCCCUAGAUGUCCUGGGCCGCACGCGUUCUACAAUGACUUGUGCAGCAAGUUAUAUCCUAGCUCGGAAGAGUCAGGUAAACUUUUUAAUGCAAGUCGU
rnacentral:rRNA from 1 species